ACAGAGCCUUAGUAGUACAACCAAUACACUGGUCUUG
rnacentral:tRNA from 1 species